CCCGCCCCGGAAGUGCGCGUGGGGGCCGACGGCCGGCGGUGGCCGAGACCCUUCCUGCAGGCGACGGGCGCGCGUGUGCUGCCGCGUGGUCCCCCCGGAGAGCGCGGGGCGCGCGGACAGCUGCCCGUGCGACCGUUCACGUGAGCGCUUGGCACCUAGAGCCGUCCGGUGACUUCCUGGGGUGGCGCAGCCUGACGCCCGUGUUUCUGGGACAGGGGACGCUUCCUGUUGGCAGCCGUGAGGAACCUAUGGGAGAAAGCGUGUUGGAGGCACGUGAUCGCUGUCCCCCCCAGACUGCAAACAGCGCCUCCAGUUUCCCGGGAGGAUAAAACGAAGCUGUUCAUCCUCGAGGCCCCCAGGCCGGGAACACUGCCGCGGUGGCCUUCCCACGGAGUCCCCGCACACGAUGGUUUCUGGAAAUGGGAAUGGAAAAGAUUUGCUGAGAACAUAAACCUCCACUAGACGGGUGAUGGUGGCAGAGCGUGGACAAGAGUCCCUGCAGCCGAGUCAGGAGGGAUGUAGUUAGCUGUCCCUUCCCAGUUAUGUCACCUUGUCCCGGAAUACACUGCUCGUGAGUCUGGGCCACGGAGUGCGCACACCGGCGGUUCCUUUCGUGGCCUGUCGCCUUCCCGCCAGCGAGAAGCCCUAGGCAGGAAAUGGAGCGCCCCGCGGACUCGCUGGUCCCUGGCCACGCGGCCUCCUGUGACGGGCGGGCCUGUUCUUUCCACUGCGUUCUGAGUGGGACAAGGAGGCGUUGCUGUAAUGCUCAGGUGCUUCCGCCUCAGUCCUCGGUGCAGGGAACGCAGACAAAUGUAUCUACAUAGUCAAAAACGCCGGAGGGCUGGAAGGUGCUGGUGCAGGAUCCGCGUGUAAACACAGCGGGUGGGGUGGAGCUGCUCUGCGCAGACACCACGUGGGGACAGUUAUGGGCUGCAGGUCCGAGGGUCUCUGGAGAACAGUUCCACUUUAUUUUCCAUGAACCACGAGCAAGAAAGUUUCCCACUGGAAUGUGCUUGGUGCCACCACACUCCACACUCAAAAUGCUAAUGGAAAUGUUCUGCUCCAUGGCAUAUAAACAGAAGGUCCGAGAUGCCAGAAGGAAUGCAGAGGUCAAAAACAAACAAACAAAAACCAUAAAUAGGUAUAUCUAGACAAGUUAGACUAAAUAAAAUAGUAUAAUGUCUUUCCCAGUUUAAAGGUAGAAUUAAAACACAGAACAAAGUAUGCGAAUUCAGAGAAAGGUCCAGAUAUUAAUUCCCUAUUUUCAUAUGUGUCAUCUUGAAGUUCCUAUGGUGCCCUUAAUGGAGUACAUAAUUUUCAAACUAGUAAAGGGGAAAAGUAGAAUGAGAAAAAAAUCCAAAAGGCAAGAAAGUAGAGAAAAGUAAACUUAGAUGAUUUGGGACAAAUCAAAAACAAAAAAUGAGAUAAUAGAUUUGGUUUUCAUUUAUAUUAAAUCAACACCAGAAGUAUGAGAAUAUGCACAGUAUGUUCAUUAAAACAAACCUCGCAUAACCCAAAGUCCAUCAACAAUGGCUUGAAUGAAUAAACUCUAGCAUAGUCUUACAAUAAAAUACAACAGUGAAGUAAAUGAACUCUGACUGUAUUAUAUGCAUCAGCAUCAGUGAAUCUCACAAGCACGAUAUUGAACAAAUACGUAAAACAAGAAUUUCAAAGACCUUUAAGAAAAGGUUCAGAAGUUGGACCGAUUGGCCCAUGCUUUGUUUAAAAAGCUCUCACUGUAGUACAACCUAUGGGAUGGUUAUGGUAGAAGAACUUGCUAGAGCAGGUCCUUCUGGCAGUAGGAGGUGCUCAGGGAGGAGCAUAGCAGGAGGAGCAUUUAUACGUCCAUCAGUGGGUCAUUCAGGGAGGAAGAUGUGCUCCUGGAGGAGCACUUACAGGCUUCCAGGGUGUAGGCCCUGUUCUCUAGCUGUGUCCUGUGUGGUGGUUCUGGGUGACAUACGUUUUAUGCCUCUUUUUUAUGUCUGAUAUAGUUAUAAAUCUAAAAUCAAAAAAGGAGACGAGCCCCCCAGGGAACUCUGAGACAUCUCGGAGAGUAAAUCCCGAAAACCAGCCUACUUACAACCUCCCAAGACUGAAUCAUAAAUAGAAAACUUGAACAGACCGAUAAUGAGAAAGGAGAUUGCAACUAUCAUCACACACCUCCUCCCAAAGGAAAGCCCAAGAACCACGUGGUUUCACCAGUGAAUUCUACCAAAUAUUAAAAGAAUCAACACUAAUCCUUCUCAAACUCUUCCAAAAAAUCGAAGAGAGAGAACACUCCCAAACUCACUUAAGGCCAGCAUUACCCAGAUACCAAAGUCAGAUAAGGACAUUGAAACUAUAGGCCUGAUGAAUAUAUAUGCAAAAAAAUCUCAAAAAACAACCCCCCCCCAAAAAAAACCCCAAAACCAAAACCAAAAAAAACCUAGCAAGCCACUAUGAUCAAAUGGAUCAUCCCUGGAAAGCAAUGCAAAUCAAUAAAUGUGAUAUGCUUCAUUCA